UUAAGAUCUUGAAGAGGAUGAUCCGUGAAUACAGAAUGGGAUGAACGCUAAGGCGGGCAAAGGUGCAAAUAGGCAAAUUAACCCCAGGAACGUGUCAAGGAGAGGUCAAGCAUAGGAGGAUAACGGGUCAAGAUAAGGCAAGAUGACAAAUACACUUAUUGGAGUACUCGAGGUAAGUGAAUUUCGAUUCACUUUUUAGUAGGUUUAAUAGAUUUUAAUACUUAUGUUUACGAAACAUCAUGAAAGAACAUGUAAUAAUCAGAAGUACAAAGCCAAUAAUGCCUCAUUAUUGAAGAAGGUUGUAUUUAAGCCGAAAGUAAAUUGGUGGGUUUAAACGGGUCGAAUUUUAUGUGCAUAUGUUGCGUAAUGAAAUGAAAUUCGUUAUGGUUAAGACCUUGGGUAAGAAUUUUAGUCAUUAUGUAAGGGGAACAUUUCCCGGACCAUUAGGUACAAGUUUUAUAUGAUUCGGUUGUCGGUCGAUGAAUGAACGGAUUGUUUCGUUUUAGUGUAGGAAAUUUUAUAAGUAUAUGUGUAUAGGAAUCCAAAGGCCACGUGGGUUGAAUCGUAGAUUGUCUAUACUAUGUAAAGUUUUGAAUGUGACAUUCCAGCAUAAACCUACAUGUAAAAGAAGCUUGUGUAUGUAUUCGUGAUUAAUUGAUUGUGCGAAGGAAGGAACAUUGGCAUGAAUGAAGGUACGCACAUAUAUAUAUAAGUGUAUAUAUAUAUAUGUAUGUAUGUAUGAUAAUAAGUACGUAGGUGUGAAUGUAUGUGUGAAUGAAUGUUCAAUGCUUAAGACAUAUGCAUGAACGUGUCAAAGGGUUCGAGUAUUUAUGGAUACUAAUGAUGUGCGUUGAGUUGGAAUGUAAUGUAGGUAUGGGGUCGUUGGCUUCAUGAAGAAAUGGAGCUGGAUUUGGAUAAGAGUAUUUAAGAAAGCGCUUGGACAAUUCCACGACUACUUUAUAGAAUGCUCUACGAAAUUUUAUUAUAUAGUUUAAUGUUGAAUGGUAUGUUAAUAACUAAUGGUUUGGUUGUACGUGGUGUCCACAGGUAUCGCUUGGGUUUUCUCUACUUUUAUUGAAGUGAAGCGGACUUAGUUCGAGUUGAGAGCAAGGAUUGUACGGGGUAGAAUGGUCACAUAGUGUAACUCAUAUAGGUUUUGAAGUAUUUAUAAAACGUUAUAAAUCCGUUUUAAUGAAUAUAUGGCAUUUCGCAUUU
rnacentral:lncRNA from 1 species